UCCAGACUCCUACGGGAGGCAGCAGUGAGGAAUAUUGGUCAAUGGCCGGAAGGCUGAACCAGCCAAGCCGCGUGAAGGACGAAGGUGCCAAGCAUUGUAAACUUCUUUUGUCAAGGGACAAAAUCAGGCUCGAGAGCCUGACCGAGGGUACUUGAAGAAAAAGCAUCGGCUAACUCCGUGCCAGCAGCCGCGGUAAUACGGAGGAUGCGAGCGUUAUCCGGAUUUAUUGGGUUUAAAGGGUGCGUAGGUGGACUGUUAAGUCAGCGGUAAAAGCCCGGGGCUCAACCUGGAGACUGCACUUGAAACUGGGUGUCUUGAGGGCAGGAGAGGAAAGUGGAAUUCCUAGUGUAGCGGUGAAAUGCGUAGAUAUUAGGAGGAACACCAGUGGCGAAGGCGACUUUCUGGACUGUACCUGACGCUGAGGCGCGAAAGCGUGGGUAGCGAACGGGAUUAGAUACCCCAGUAGA
rnacentral:rRNA from 1 species